CAAAUACUCCCUCUGUCUGGAAAUACUUUUCAUCAAAAUGGAUAAAAGGAAAUGUAUCUAGACGUAUUUUAGUUUUAGAUACAUCUAUUUUUAUCCAUUUUGAUGACAAGUAUUUUCGGACAGAGGGAGUAGAAA
rfam:Triticum aestivum genome assembly, contig: Triticum_aestivum_CS42_TGACv1_scaffold_499777_6BL